rnacentral:lncRNA from 1 species
GCUAUCUUCGAUGUGAUAAGAAACACCUAAACUCAAAGUAAUUUGAAAGAAUAAACAACUUCAGUUAAAGAAGGUCCCCAAAGAAGUGUAAAGUACAAGUGUAAAACAUGUAGGUAAGAACUUUGAAGGGUGAAUUUUGAGUUCACACUGUUGUCUUUUAUGAUAAUGUCACUGUAUAAUGUGGCAGUAGGGAAUACCUUAGUGGGCUCUGCCAAGGUGUCCUCCUGAAAAAUCAAGCUGUGCCAUAGACCUAGAAUGAAGAAGGUUUAUCAGUGGGAAUGGAAGAGGACAUGAAAAAGGGGUAGAGGCAGAGAAAGGAACCAAAAGAGAGAGGAGAGAGGAAAAAAGAGAGGAAAAACUUGGUUAGGAACAUGUGGGGAAGAGAGGUAGAAGAUAAAGGGGAGGGAGGGAGCUAAGGAGGGAGGAAGAAAGAGAGGAGAGAAAAGGAAGGAGGAGAUAGGGGAAGGGAGAAAGAGAAGAUGGGGAAGGGAAAGUAAAUGAGAAGGAGAGGGAGGGAGAAGGAGAAGGGGAGAGUGAGAAAAAGGAGGAGAGGGAAAGGGAGGGAGAGAGAGAAGAUGGGAAGAAGGGGGGAAGAGAGGGACAGAAAGAAGAUGGGGAACUGGAAGAGAUAGAAAGAGUGAGAGACAGAGGGAGAGAAGAGAAAGAGAGGGGGAGGGAGGGGGAGAGGGGGUGAGGACAGAAAAGAGUAGCCAGCCAAGCAGUCCUUCUUAUAUGACAGGUUGGCUAGCACCUGACAGGUGGUUAGUUAGUGAGCACCUUGCAGACACACAGGAUGUACUUCUCCAAGAUGGUGCAAUGGAGCAGAAACAGCUCAUGUCCCUAAUAAGAAGCCACGAGGGACCUCAACAUUGCAACUAUUAGGUACCAUUCAGAGUCAAUGCGGACCUGAACACACAACUGGCCACGGAGGGAGGCCCUUCAUAAACAGAUCUUGCUGAGUUUAAUCAGAAUCUGCCUCAUGCACAUAGACACAGAUCCUCUUAGAGAUGAAAAGGUUGUCUGUGCAUACUUACAUCAGGGUGUGGCUACACAUUGAAAUUCACUGGUCUUGAGAUCUUUCUGGUCCUAUAGGGUACUGAUGUAUGUAUAUCCUGGUCUAUUAAUCACACAUGCAAAAAGGAAUUUUAGCCUGCAGAGUUGGCAUUUCUUUUUAAGUUUGUUCUUGUUGUUUUUGGUUUUUUAACCAUGAUAAAAAACAUAAUGGAAGAAAUCACUAAGGUAUUAACAUCAACAGUCAAGAUGAUAAUCUGGUAAGUAUGCAAUAACAGCAGUAGCAGAGGAAGAAGGCUGGUGGUCACUCAUAGAACAAAGCAGGCGCCCUCAGGUGCAAGCCCUCUUUGCACUCUCCACAGUCUAUGGGAAGGAGAUGGGAAGGGAAUUGCACAUAAGCCAGACGAUUUCCAGGAAAACAGGCUUAACAGUUUGUAAAUAUAUAAAGCCUUUUGAGGACACAAAAUAAAGUGUGGUCUUUAAAGAAAAUAGGCUUAGUUACAGGAUGGGCAGACAGUGUUUUGAACACGGUUGGAUCAAAUGGUGAAGACCAUAUUUCAAAGAUGCAACUUCUGCGUGUUUAUGUCUAAGCAGCUUCUGGUCUUUAAAACUGUCUUUCAUACAAAUGUGAGAGAUGACAAACUUUAUUGGGGGUCCUGAAGCUUUUAGUCCACAAAAUUGAGGAAGAGUUUGAAGCUCACGGCUGCCAGAGUGAAACCUUGGGCUCUGGUAUUAGCUGCCUUGUACAUGGCUGAUUGGAACACAAAGGAAAAUAAUCUUGUAAGUUGUUGAUGAAAACAAGACUACUUGAAAUUUUAAUAUGAAAAACAUCCUUCAUUGUCUGGCCUAUCAAAUAUUUAAUGGUUCUAAACUUCAAGUUAUUCUGAGAACAAGAUAGGAUAAUAAUGUAUAAGUCACAAAAUUAAAAUUGUCAAGUGGGUGAUGUAUGAUGAAGUGUAUAAGCACAUGCACAGAAAAAAAUUAUACAACUUAAUUGACAUUAAUAAAUAAAUGAGGAGUUCCAGAAGAGUCUUUGUUGGCCUGUGACUAUGUUAGUCAACCUGAAAUCAAUCAAAAGGGCAACUGGACAUUCCAAUCUCUGGUGGGGGUUAGGGGCUUGUUAAUAGCAAGCAGCUAGCAGUAGACACAGGGAAGAACACACACAUACGUUAACCCAAGCCAAAAAUAAAAUCAUCAAAAAA